AUUGAACGCUGGCGGCAGGCCUAACACAUGCAAGUCGAACGGUAACAGGAAGAAGCUUGCUUCUUUGCUGACGAGUGGCGGACGGGUGAGCAAUGUCUGGGAAACUGCCUGAUGGAGGGGGAUAACUACUGGAAACGGUAGCUAAUACCGCAUAACGUCGCAAGACCAAAGAGGGGGACCUUCGGGCCUCUUGCCAUCGGAUGUGCCCAGAUGGGAUUAGCUAGUAGGUGGGGUAACGGCUCACCUAGGCGACGAUCCCUAGCUGGUCUGAGAGGAUGACCAGCCACACUGGAACUGAGACACGGUCCAGACUCCUACGGGAGGCAGCAGUGGGGAAUAUUGCACAAUGGGCGCAAGCCUGAUGCAGCCAUGCCGCGUGUAUGAAGAAGGCCUUCGGGUUGUAAAGUACUUUCAGCGGGGAGGAAGGGAGUAAAGUUAAUACCUUGGCUCAUUGACGUUACCCGCAGAAGAAGCACCGGCUAACUCCGUG
rnacentral:rRNA from 1 species